CAGCCGCCGCGGUAAUACCGGCGGCUCGAGUGGUGGCCACUUUUAUUGGGCUUAAAGCGUUCGUAGCUGGGUCGGUAAGUCUCUUGGGAAAUCUGGCAGCUUAACUGUCAGGCGUCUAAGAGAUACUGCUGAUCUUGGAACCGGGAGAGGUGAGGGGUACUUCGGGGGUAGGAGUGAAAUCCUGUAAUCCUCGAGGGACCACCUGUGGCGAAGGCGCCUCACCAGAACGGCUUCGACAGUGAGGGACGAAAGCUGGGGGAGCAAACCGGAUUAGAUACCCGGGUAGUCCCAGCCGUAAACGAUGUGCGUUAGGUGUAUCAGUGACCACGAGUCACUGAGGUGCCGAAGGGAAACCGUGAAACGUACCGCCUGGGAAGUACGGUCGCAAGGCUGAAACUUAAAGGAAUUGGCGGGGGAGCACCACAACAGGUGGAGCCUGCGGUUUAAUUGGACUCAACGCCGGGAAGCUCACCGGAUAAGACAGCGGAAUGAUUGCCGGGCUGAAGACUCUGCAUGACUAGCUGAGAGGAGGUGCAUGGCC
rnacentral:rRNA from 1 species